ensembl:lncRNA
GACAAAUUGACAACCACUCGGGCCGGGUUGCAUAAAUUCCAAUUUAAUAAAAUAAUUGAGCAAGUCACAAGUAAGCAAAACAGCGCUGGGCGGCCGGGGAGUCUCCUGCUCCACCAACGGCGCGCGCGAUCCCCCCCUCACAGUCCCCUUAUAUGCGAUUCCAGCCCCGGGUAUAUGUGGCACUUCCUGUAACUUCUGCGGCUGCGCCGGCUGUUGCUAGGGGGUCUUCUUCAGCCUUCUGGUAGUCGUGGGGAUGAAGGCUGGAGUCUUCCUCUGCGUUGUGUGUGGUGACCCUCAGGUCAUGCAUAUAUUUUACAACUGUGUGACCUCGCCAUUGCCAUAUUAGGCUAUCUAAACUAAMAUCACCACCUCGCUGGCUCCACUUAAUUAUCUCAGGMGGGGUACAUGCCCUCAUUGCAGGAUGUUGUGGUUUUAGCCCGUAAUUAGCGCCUAGUUUCACCGUAAAAUCACUUCCCGAUUUGAUGUAACAAACUAGCACCUAUCACAGAAGGGUUUAUUGCAGCAGGAUGGAGAACAGCGCUUGCAUCCAAAAUGAGCUAGAGAAACUGGAGAAACUGUCUGGAGAGAAAAGGAUGUGAUGCAAAUAGUGUUGUGUGACUGUUCUCUCCUGUGCAGAUGGAGAAGGCCUGGCUGCGUAGCGGCUCUGAAGAAAGGGAUCCAAGCGCUAUAGUUGCGCCAAAAUGUCACACGGGUGAGAAGAAAAACAGGAAUACCUCACACAUUGGCGGGCAAUCAGAAAGCCAUAGGAGAGGGUGGGAAAACGUGAAGCAGGAGGAAGGAUGGAAAGAACGGAGGCGAGGCAGCAGAUUGACGCUCUGCAUCAGACCGCACACUGUGGUGGUAAAGCUGUGUUUAUUUGCUUAAAUGAUUUCCAACUCCCCUGGUUGCCCCUUGCUUGCCUUCCCGGGGGUUUGCAAUGCAUACCAUGCAUUGGCACAAUGGACAGGACAGGGCAGGCUAAGAGGAAAAGGGCAUCGGUAGCUUAAGCCUGUGUUGGAACCAGAUGCUUCAUAACAGGGCACUGCAGCCUGAGGGCGGCGGAGAAAAGGACAGGGCAGAGAAUAUGUUAAUAACCUUCACAUAUGGGAAAGGACAGAUGAAAAGGGAAGUGGGAAGUUUGCUCACCAUGUCUGCAGUGGGUAAAAAGCGAAGUAUUAGGGCUAGAUGUCUGCAAAAGGGCACUUGCUUCAGUAAGCAGCAAAGCCUUGGAAUGGGUUGCCCGAGUAGGGGAUGCAGUCUCACACCAUGAAAAUUUCUUAAAUCAGGGUAGAACAAGCAUCUGCCCAGUGCAGCUGGCUCUGCUUCGAGAUGGGAGUAUUGGAUUUAGAUAGCCUCCAUAUUAUUCCUUUCAACCCUAUUUUAUGAUUCUGUCCCUAUCAUUAGGGAAGCUUUCCACAUCUCUAGACUAAUUUUCCCCUGUUGCAGUUUAAGCUCAUAAUUUCUGAUUUUGUUCACUGCAGAUGUGGAAAGCAUUUUAUUACCUUCCUCUUUCCAGUUACCCUUUACUGCUAUGUCUCCCUUUGGUUUCUCCCCACUGUACUAAAUAAACCUAAUUCAUUCCAUUUUGCCUCA